rnacentral:rRNA from 1 species
GGAGUAUGGGCCGUGUCUCAGUCCCAUUGUGGCUGAUCAUCCUCUCAAACCAGCUACUGAUCGUCGCCUUGGUGGUCCAUUACACCGCCAACUAGCUAAUCAGAUGCAGACUCAUCCCAGAGCACCGGAGUUUUCACGAAUACUAUCUCAAGUACGCGCAUAUGGGGUAUUAGCAGUCGUUUCCAACUGUUGUCCCCCACUCUAGGGCAGAUUCUCUACACAUUACUCACCCGUCCGCCACUUUCCUCUGACCGAAGCCAGAUUCUCGUUCGACUUGCAUGUAUGAAGCACGCCGCCAGCGUCGUCCUCGAGCCACUGAUCAAACUACU